UACGGGGGGAGCAAGCGUUGUUCGGAUUUACUGGGCGUAAAGGGCGCGUAGGCGGUCAGCACAAGUCAGUUGUGAAAUCUCCGGGCUUAACUCGGAAAGGUCAACUGAUACUGUGCGACUAGAGUGCAGAAGGGGCAACUGGAAUUCUCGGUGUAGCGGUGAAAUGCGUAGAGAUCGGAAGGAACACCAGUGGCGAAGGCGGCUACCUGGACAGAUACUGACGCUGAGGCGCGAGAGCGUGGGGAGCAAACAGG
rnacentral:rRNA from 1 species